GCCCUGCAGGUGUGGUGGUGCACACCUGUAAUUUCAGCAGCUCAGGAGGCUGAGGCAGGAGGAUUGCAAGUUCAAAGCCAGCCCCAGCAAUUUAUGGAUGCCCUAAGCACCUCUGCGAGACCCUGUCUCUA
rnacentral:sRNA from 1 species